rnacentral:rRNA from 1 species
UACAGAGGUCUCAAGCGUUGUUCGGAAUCACUGGGCGUAAAGGGUGCGUAGGCGGCGCGGCAAGUCAGAUGUGGAAUCCAUGGGCUCAACCCGUGAAUUGCAUCCGAUACUUCCGUGCUAGAGGGCUGGAGAGGAGUUUGGAAUUCUCGGUGUAGCAGUGAAAUGCGUAGAUAUCGAGAGGAACACCAACGGCGAAAGCAAAACUCUGGACAGCAACUGACGCUGAUGCACGAAGGCCAAGGGAGCAAACGGG